CUCCGUAGGGUGAACCUGCGGAGGGAUCAUUACCGAGUUUACAACUCCCAAACCCCUGUGAACAUACCAAUUGUUGCCUCGGCGGAUCAGCCCGCUCCCGGUAAAACGGGACGGCCCGCCAGAGGACCCCUAAACUCUGUUUCUAUAUGUAACUUCUGAGUAAAACCAUAAAUAAAUCAAAACUUUCAACAACGGAUCUCUUGGUUCUGGCAUCGAUGAAGAACGCAGCAAAAUGCGAUAAGUAAUGUGAAUUGCAGAAUUCAGUGAAUCAUCGAAUCUUUGAACGCACAUUGCGCCCGCCAGUAUUCUGGCGGGCAUGCCUGUUCGAGCGUCAUUUCAACCCUCAAGCCCCCGGGUUUGGUGUUGGGGAUCGGCGAGCCCUUGCGGCAAGCCGGCCCCGAAAUCUAGUGGCGGUCUCGCUGCAGCUUCCAUUGCGUAGUAGUAAAACCCUCGCAACUGGUACGCGGCGCGGCCAAGCCGUUAAACCCCCAACUUCUGAAUGUUGACCUCGGAUCAGGUAGGAAUACCCGCUGAACUUAAGCAUAUCAAUAAGCGGAGGAA
rnacentral:rRNA from 1 species